rnacentral:rRNA from 1 species
GAUGAACGCUAGCGGCAGGCUUAAUACAUGCAAGUCGAGGGGCAGCAUGGUGUAGCAAUACACUGAUGGCGACCGGCAAACGGGUGCGGAACACGUACAGAACCUUCCUUUAAGCGGGGGAUAGCCCAGAGAAAUUUGGAUUAAUACCCCAUAGCACUAAGAGGUGGCAUCACCUUUUAAUUAAAGAUUUAUCACUUAAAGAUGGCUGUGCGUCUGAUUAGGUAGUUGGCGGGGUAACGGCCCACCAAGCCAUCGAUCAGUAACUGGUGUGAGAGCACGACCAGUCACACGGGCACUGAGACACGGGCCCGACUCCUACGGGAGGCAGCAGUAAGGAAUAUUGGUCAAUGGACGCAAGUCUGAACCAGCCAUGCCGCGUGAAGGAUGAAGGUCCUCUGGAUUGUAAACUUCUUUUAUCUGGGACGAAACCUGUUUAUUCUUAAGCAGCUGACGGUACCAGAGGAAUAAGCACCGGCUAACUCCGUGCCAGCCGCCGCCGUAACAC